rnacentral:rRNA from 1 species
CUACUCGGGUUUCUAAUCCUGUUUGCUACCCACGCUUUCGCGCCUCAGCGUCAGUGUCAGUCCAGAAGGCCGCCUUCGCCACUGGUAUUCCUCCCGAUCUCUACGCAUUUCACCGCUACACCGGGAAUUCCACCUUCCUCUCCUGCACUCUAGCCUGACAGUUCCGGAUGCCGUUCCCAGGUUGAGCCCGGGGCUUUCACAACCGGCUUAUCACGCCACCUACGCGCGCUUUACGCCUAGUAAUUCCGAUUAACGCUUGCACCCUCCGUAUUACCGCGGCGGCUGACAC